ACCAACAUGUACGCGCGCGCGUUGCCGUUCUCCCUCAGACACACUGGAGGGAAAGGUCAAACUAAAGACGAGGGAGCCGGGAGGCCAGAGGGAGCCGUCGCCGCCGCCGCCAACGCCGCGCGCCAUGACGGACGCGGCCCUGGCUGCUUUCUCCCUGCCGCCGCCGCUGAGCCGUCGCUGUCGCCGCGCCCCCAGCCCCGCCGUCGCCCCCCCACUGCCGCUCGCGCGGCCGCGCGCCCCUCCCCCCACACGCGGGCGCGCGCAGGUCGGGAGCGAGCGCGGGGGGUGCGGGCCGGCGGACGCGCGGGAGGACAGGCGGGAGGACGGGCGGCCUCCGCGGCGCGACUCCGACCGGGCGGCCCCGGGCCGCCGCCGCCAGGACCUCACCACUCUGGACUGAAUAUUUCAGAUAGAAAGAGGGAGACAGAAAGACAUCACAGCUCUGAAGCUUCCACCAGUGUGAACCUGGGUUGUUUGCAAGCAAAACCAGAUGCACUAUCCAGCUCUAGAGACUGCAGAACCAGGAGCCAUCAUUACUGAAGUGUCCACACCCACCUGGAGAAGCUAGGAUAUGUAAGCAAGCUUGAUGAUUGAGUUCCUCAUGAAGUCAAAAAGUUCAUUUGACAGCAUGGAUGAACAUCUGGGCUAUGCUUACUACAGUGCUUCACCCCCAGGUAGAGACCAUAGCAUGAAGCUUCCUGAAGGAAGUGCUGGUAGGACUCCCAGGAACUUGAACCUGGGUUGUAUGCCUGGCAAAGCAGACACCCUCCCAGAGUAUAUCAAGUAUUGAAUUUGUCCACAUGGAACAGUUCCAAAAAGGAGCUUAAGCAGCAUGGUAUUUUUUUUCCCCUUUUUGUGAAGAUUGUUGCAGGGCCCUCAAGCAGAUUAAGCUGUACCAGUCAUAACCACCUUCAUCUCAUAGUUCCAGAUUCAUAGAGAUGCCAGAUAAAAACAUAACAGACACAGCUAACUGCAAAUGGAAGGAAAACCCAACUGGCAGAAUGUAGAGAAAGCAAAGCAGUCAGAACAGUGAACUCAGAUUCCGCAAGCUGCUGUGAUGGGGGUGGGGGUGGUAAUCCUGGCUCUGGGCCGCACCGGCUGACUGAAUUUCACCAGCAAAUGACAUGAUGACCUUACAGCACGCCCUUAGGGACCCUUACAAGGCAGCUGGGACCCUUACAAGUGCUGCAGCCUUAAGGAAGAAGCAGAGAUCUAUGCAGCUACACAGCUACGGCUUACUGAAACCUUGCACACACUAAAGGUGAGUCUGGAAGAUCAUCUCUAAACUCUUGGAAUACCCUGAUUCAGAUGCUCAGCUCUGUUUACCUGGGGUGUCGAGAUACUCCAAAUAGUCUGUUAAUAUGGGAGCCUGCCACCAUGCAUUGUGUCUCUGGUCUCUGGAGAAGCUGGAAACUAGAGUCAUGCAGGACUACACAUCUACAAGAGUAAACCCAAUAAAAACCCUGGACAUCAUGUAUCACGUGAGUUUCUCUGGUUAGCAGUAUUCUGUGCGUGUUGUCCCAUGUUACUUUUGGAACAAUUAAAUGUCUGUUCGACUGGAA